AGUGAACGCUGGCGGCGUGCCUAAUACAUGCAAGUCGAACGGAGUGGCGCACGGGUGAGUAAUGUAUAGCUAAUCUGCCCUACACUGGAGGAGAACAUUUGGAAACGAAAGCUAAUACUAUAUAUUGUAGGUUGUGGCUAUAUUGUGUCAGCUAGUUGGUGAGGUAAUGGUUCACCAAGACUAUGACGCCUAACUGGUCCGAGAGGACGAUCAGUCGAACUGUACGUGAGACACGUGUCGGGCAUCUUCGAGAGUGAGCAGUAGGGAGUAGUGGUCAAUGGGGGUAACCCUGGAGCGGCAACGCCGCGUAGAGGAUGACACUUUUCGGGGCAUAAACGCCUUUUGUUAGGGAAGCGGUACCUAACGAAGAAGCACCGGCUAACUCCGUGCCAGCAGCCGCGGUAAUUC
rnacentral:rRNA from 1 species